rnacentral:rRNA from 1 species
AGAGUUUGAUCCUGGCUCAGGAUGAACGCUGGCGGCGUGCCUAACACAUGCAAGUCGAACGAAGCUUGACGGAUGAUUUCUUCGGAAUGAAACCUGAUAUGACUUAGUGGCGGACGGGUGAGUAACACGUGAGCAACCUGCCUUUCAGAGGGGGAUAACGGCUGGAAACGGUCGCUAAUACCGCAUGAUGUGUUCGGAUGGCAUCAUCUGAACAUCAAAGAUUUAUCGCUGAAAGAUGGGCUCGCGUCUGAUUAGAUAGUUGGUGGGGUAACGGCCUACCAAGUCGACGAUCAGUAGCCGGACUGAGAGGUUGAACGGCCACAUUGGGACUGAGAUACGGCCCAGACUCCUACGGGAGGCAGCAGUGGGGAAUAUUGCACAAUGGGGGAAACCCUGAUGCAGCAACGCCGCGUGAAGGAUGACGGUUUUCGGAUUGUAAACUUCUUUUCUUAGUGACGAAGACAGUGACGGUAGCUAAGGAAUAAGCAUCGGCUAACUACGUGCCAGCAGCCGCGGUAAUACGUAGGAUGCAAGCGUUAUCCGGAUUUACUGGGUGUAAAGGGAGCGCAGGCGGGACUGCAAGUUGGAUGUGAAAUACCGUGGCUUAACCACGGAACUGCAUCCAAAACUGUAGUUCUUGAGUGAAGUAGAGGCAAGCGGAAUUCCGAGUGUAGCGGUGAAAUGCGUAGAUAUUCGGAGGAACACCAGUGGCGAAGGCGGCUUGCUGGGCUUUAACUGACGCUGAGGCUCGAAAGUGUGGGGAGCAAACAGGAUUAGAUACCCUGGUAGUCCACACUGUAAACGAUGAUAGCUAGGUGUGGGGGGUCUGACCCCUUCCGUGCCGGAGUUAACGCAAUAAGCUAUCCACCUGGGGAGUACGACCGCAAGGUUGAAACUCAAAGGAAUUGACGGGGGCC